GACGAACGCUGGCGGCGUGCUGAACACAUGCAAGUCGAACGGAAAGGCCCUGCUUUUGUGGGGUGCUCGAGUGGCGAACGGGUGAGUAACACGUGAGUAACCUGCCCUUGACUUUGGGAUAACUUCAGGAAACUGGGGCUAAUACCGGAUAGGAGCUCCUGCUGCAUGGUGGGGGUUGGAAAGUUUCGGCGGUUGGGGAUGGACUCGCGGCUUAUCAGCUUGUUGGUGGGGUAGUGGCUUACCAAGGCUUUGACGGGUAGCCGGCCUGAGAGGGUGACCGGCCACAUUGGGACUGAGAUACGGCCCAGACUCCUACGGGAGGCAGCAGUGGGGAAUAUUGCACAAUGGGCGGAAGCCUGAUGCAGCAACGCCGCGUGCGGGAUGACGGCCUUCGGGUUGUAAACCGCUUUCGCCUGUGACGAAGCGUGAGUGACGGUAAUGGGUAAAGAAGCACCGGCUAACUACGUG
rnacentral:rRNA from 1 species